rnacentral:rRNA from 1 species
GAGUUUGAUCCUGGCUCAGAUUGAACGCUGGCGGCAUGCCUUACACAUGCAAGUCGAACGGCAGCACGGGCUUCGGCCUGGUGGCGAGUGGCGAACGGGUGAGUAAUACAUCGGAACGUGCCCUGUUGUGGGGGAUAACCAGUCGAAAGAUUGGCUAAUACCGCAUACGACCUGAGGGUGAAAGCGGGGGACCGCAAGGCCUCGCGCAGCAGGAGCGGCCGAUGUCUGAUUAGCUAGUUGGUGGGGUAAAGGCCCACCAAGGCGACGAUCAGUAGCUGGUCUGAGAGGACGAUCAGCCACACUGGGACUGAGACACGGCCCAGACUCCUACGGGAGGCAGCAGUGGGGAAUUUUGGACAAUGGGGGCAACCCUGAUCCAGCAAUGCCGCGUGUGUGAAGAAGGCCUU